CCUACGGGGCGCUGCAGUGGGGAAUAUUGGACAAUGGGCGAAAGCCUGAUCCAGCCAUGCCGCGUGUGUGAAGAAGGCCUUCGGGUUGUAAAGCACUUUCAGUGGGGAAGAAAGCCUUGGGGCUAAUACCCUCGAGGAAGGACAUCACCCACAGAAGAAGCACCGGCUAACUCCGUGCCAGCAGCCGCGGUAAUACGGAGGGUGUGAGCGUUAAUCGGAAUUACUGGGCGUAAAGCGCGCGUAGGCGGUCUGAUAAGCCGGUUGUGAAAGCCCCGGGCUCAACCUGGGAACGGCAUCCGGAACUGUCAGGCUAGAGUGCAGGAGAGGAAGGUAGAAUUCCCGGUGUAGCGGUGAAAUGCGUAGAGAUCGGGAGGAAUACCAGUGGCGAAGGCGGCCUUCUGGACUGACACUGACGCUGAGGUGCGAAAGCGUGGGUAGCAAACAGGAUUAGAUACCCGAGUAGUC
rnacentral:rRNA from 1 species